UUUAGACUUAAGAGCUAUUCAAAUAAGGCACAGCUUAUUUGAAAUAGGACACAACCUACAACAUAGGGUAAAUGAGAGUGACCUAAAUAAAGUGGGCCUAAAAGCAGCCACCUUCAGAAAAGCGUUAAAGCUUAACUACCUUCACUCAUAAUGCCUAAAAUCUCCACUAACCCUUUAUUACUACUGAACAAUUUUAUACUCAUAUAAAAGCUAUCAUGCUAGAACUAGUAACAAGAAACUGCUUUUCUCCUAAAUGUAAACAUAAACCAAAAUAGACCAUCUAUUGGUUAUUAACGUAAAUGCUAAACUGUAGCAACACUCACUAGAAAAUCCUAUAAACCCCAACGUUAACCUUACACCAGAACAUUACAGGAAAGAUUAAAAGAAAAAGAAGGAACUCGGCAAAUUUUAGCCUCGCCUGUUUACCAAAAACAUCGCCUCUUGACAAACAUAAGAGGUCCAGCCUGCCCAGUGACAAAGUUCAACGGCCGCGGUACCCUAACCGUGCAAAGGUAGCACAAUCACUUGUUCUUUAAAUGAGGACUCGUAUCAACGGCACUACGAGGGCUAUACUGUCUCCUUUUUCUAAUCAGUGAAACUGAUCUCCCCGUGAAGAAGCGGGGAUUGUAAUAUAAGACGAGAAGACCCCAUGGAGCUUUAAACUCACCAUGUACCCCUGUGCUCCCAUACCCCCAGACACAACAGACCUACAUGUUAGUUUUAGGUUGGGGUGACCACGGAGUAUAACUUAACCUCCAUAGCAAAUGGGCUAAUACCCUUAUCCACGAGACACAACUCUAAGAAUUACUAAACUAAUGCUUACGACCCGAUAUUCGAUCCAUGAACCAAGUUACCCUGGGGAUAACAGCGCAAUCUACUUCAAGAGCCCAUAUCGACAAGUAGGUUUACGACCUCGAUGUUGGAUCAGGGUAUCCCGGUGGUGCGAGCCG
rnacentral:rRNA from 1 species